UAGAAGUUUGAUCCUGGCUCAGGACGAACGCUGGCGGCGUGCUUAACACAUGCAAGUCGAACGGUGACCCUCGGAGCUUGCUCCGAGGUGAUCAGUGGCGAACGGGUGAGUAACACGUGAGUAACCUGCCCCAGACUCUGGAAUAACCCCGGGAAACCGGAGCUAAUACCGGAUACGAGACGGAGAGGCAUCUCUACCGUCUGGAAAGUUUUUCGGUCUGGGAUGGACUCGCGGCCUAUCAGCUAGUUGGUGAGGUAGUGGCUCACCAAGGCGACGACGGGUAGCCGGCCUGAGAGGGCGACCGGCCACACUGGGACUGAGACACGGCCCAGACUCCUACGGGAGGCAGCAGUGGGGAAUAUUGCACAAUGGGCGAAAGCCUGAUGCAGCGACGCCGCGUGAGGGAUGAAGGCCUUCGGGUUGUAAACCUCUUUCGGCAGGGAAGAAGCGAAAGUGACGGUACCUGCAGAAGAAGCACCGGCUAACUACGUGCCAGCAGCCGCGGUAAUACGUAGGGUGCGAGCGUUGUCCGGAAUUAUUGGGCGUAAAGAGCUUGUAGGCGGUCUGUCGCGUCUGCUGUGAAAAUCCGAGGCUCAACCUCGGACUUGCAGUGGGUACGGGCAGACUAGAGUGUGGUAGGGGAGACUGGAAUUCCUGGUGUAGCGGUGAAAUGCGCAGAUAUCAGGAGGAACACCGAUGGCGAAGGCAGGUCUCUGGGCCAUAACUGACGCUGAGAAGCGAAAGCGUGGGGAGCGAACAGGAUUAGAUACCCUGGUAGUCCACGCCGUAAACGUUGGG
rnacentral:rRNA from 1 species